rnacentral:rRNA from 1 species
GUCGAGUUGUUUGGGAAUGCUGCUCAAAAUGGGAGGUAAACCCCUUCUAAAGCUAAAUACUGGCCAGAGACCGAUAGCGCACAAGUAGAGUGAUCGAAAGAUGAAAAGCACUUUGAAAAGAGAGUUAAAAAGCACGUGAAAUUGUUAAAAGGGAAGCGCUUGCGACCAGACUUGCGCCCGUCGGAUCAACCGUCGCUUGCGGCGGCGCACUCCGGCGGGCUCAGGCCAGCAUCAGUUCGUCCGGGGGGAGAAAGGCGGCGGGAAUGUGGCUCUUCGGAGUGUUAUAGCCCGCCGUGUAAUACCCUCGGGUGGACUGAGGACCGCGCGUAUGCAAGGAUGCUGGCGUAAUGGUCGUCAGCNACCCGUCUUGAAACACGG